rnacentral:tRNA from 1 species
GCCGUGACUGGGGAAUGGUGACCCCACUGGCCUGCUACGCCAGCCCCGGCGACGGGUUCCCGGUUCGAAUCCGGGACACGGCG